ACAUGCAAGUCGAACGAUGAAGCGGUGCUUGCACCGUGGAUUAGUGGCGAACGGGUGAGUAAUACGUGAGUGACCUACCUUUGACUCUGGGAUAAGCCUGGGAAACUGGGUCUAAUACCGGAUACGACCAAUCUCUGCAUGGGGUGUUGGUGGAAAGCGUUAUGGAGUGGUUUUAGAUGGGCUCACGGCCUAUCAGCUUGUUGGUGAGGUAAUGGCUUACCAAGGCGACGACGGGUAGCCGGCCUGAGAGGGUGACCGGCCACACUGGGACUGAGACACGGCCCAGACUCCUACGGGAGGCAGCAGUGGGGAAUAUUGCACAAUGGGCGCAAGCCUGAUGCAGCGACGCCGCGUGAGGGAUGACGGCCUUCGGGUUGUAAACCUCUGUUAGCAUCGAAGAAGCGAAAGUGACGGUAGGUGCAGAGAAAGCGCCGGCUAACUACGUGCCAGCAGCCGCGGUAAUACGUAGGGCGCGAGCGUUGUCCGGAAUUAUUGGGCGUAAAGAGCUUGUAGGCGGUUGGUCGCGUCUGCUGUGAAAGGCCGGGGCUUAACUCCGGUUUUGCAGUGGGUACGGGCUAACUAGAGUGCAGUAGGGGAGACUGGAAUUCCUGGUGUAGCGGUGGAAUGCACAGAUAUCAGGAGGAACACCGAUGGCGAAGGCAGGUCUCUGGGCUGUAACUGACGCUGAGAAGCGAAAGCAUGGGGAGCGAACAGGAUUAGAUACCCUGGUAGUCCAUGCCGUAAACGU
rnacentral:rRNA from 1 species